AUGAGUCAGCAGUGUGCCCUGGCAACUAAGAGGGCAAACGAUUCUGAGAUGUAUCACACACAGCAUAACCAGCUGGUCAAAGUAGAUGAUUAUCCAGCUGUGUUUAGCAUUUGUGUACCCUCACCUUUCGUUCUGUGCACAGUUGUGGCCCCAAAAAUCUCAGGAGGAUAUUAAGGUCCUUGAAUAUAUCCAGAGGAGGGCAACAAAGGUGGUGAAAGUGCUGGAAGGCUUGUCCUUUGAGGAGUGGCUAAGGACUCUGGGGUUGUCUAGUUUGGAGAUAAAGAGGCUGAGGGGUGACCUCAUUACUCUCUACAGCUUCCUGAGGAUGGGAAGUAUAAAGGGAAGAUGCUGAUGUCUUCUCCCUGAUAUCCAGUGAUAGGAUGCAUAGGAAUGUUUCAAAGCUCUGUCAGGGGAUUUAGACUGGACAUUAGCAAGCAUUUCUUUACUGAAAGGGUGGUGAAACUCUGGAACAGGCUUCCUA